rnacentral:rRNA from 1 species
AUUGAACGCUGGCGGCAGGCCUAACACAUGCAAGUCGAGCGGAUGAAGGGAGCUUGCUCCUGGAUUCAGCGGCGGACGGGUGAGUAAUGCCUAGGAAUCUGCCUGGUAGUGGGGGAUAACGUCCGGAAACGGGCGCUAAUACCGCAUACGUCCUGAGGGAGAAAGUGGGGGAUCUUCGGACCUCACGCUAUCAGAUGAGCCUAGGUCGGAUUAGCUAGUUGGUGGGGUAAAGGCCUACCAAGGCGACGAUCCGUAACUGGUCUGAGAGGAUGAUCAGUCACACUAGAACUGAAACACGGUCCAGACUCCUACGGGAGGCAACAGUGGGGAAUAUUGGACAGAGGGCGAAAGGCUGGUCCAGCCAUGCCGCGUGUGUGGAGAAGGUCUUCGGAUUGUAAAGGACUUUAAGUUGGGAGGAAGGGCAGUAAGUUAAUACCUUGCUGUUUUGACGUUACCAACAGAAUAAGCACCGGCUAACUUCGUG